UCUCUUACUUCCAAUCGGUGAAAUUGACCUUCCCGUGAAGAGGCGGGAAUAUAACAAUAAGACGAGAAGACCCUAUGGAGCUUUAAUUAACUAACCCAAUAGAAUUUAUUCAAUUAACCAAUAUGGGACAAAGUAAUUCUACAGUGGGACAGCAAUUUAGGUUGGGGCGACCUCG
rnacentral:rRNA from 1 species